rnacentral:piRNA from 1 species
UACAUCUUCUGCAGUGAAAGCUUUGCUC